GUGCAGGCACUCGAGUUGGGACUUACAAGACAGCCUUCCUAUUUCUCAGGAAAAUCAGCGCGGGUUUGGGGGAUGCGAAGGGACUCCGGGAGGAGCGGGGCCGAGGGCCGAGAGUGACCCUCGGCGAAAGCGCCCCAGAGCGAUCGUCCGGGUCCGACUCUUCCUCCCUUUUCCCGCAGCAGAUUCCGGUGGGAUCAUGGACAAGAGCGUCAGCUGUGGUUUGGGAGGCCGGAUGGGGCGGGAGAGGCGGGAAGGGACCUGACAGUGGGCCCGCGAUGCCGGGUCCCUUCCUGUGGGUGUCCGCACGUCGCAUGGCCGUCUCGCCGCCGAUGCGGGGCUGAAAGCGCCCCCGCGCCCCGGGUUUUGACCCCGACCCUUCGCAGCGCAGCGCCGGGCCGGGCCGGGAGCGCGCGGUCCCGGCGCGGAGCAAGGACUGCAAUCCCGCUCUGCGCCACACGAGGGCUCCGCCAGGCACCUGCCGGUCACCCGGGCGCUGUCUGCACCGAGCUCUCUUUUCUGCGAUGCUUUGAGUCUCCGAACAAAUCCUAACCGGAGGAGCUGGGCUCCCGGGACGCACAUUUCUGCACUGUUCCUCUGCCGCCUUGAGGUUACUUGGCCGCACUCAGGUCCUUGGCCCGGCGCUUCUUAAACUACCGCGUACACGCGGAUUGCCCUGCCCCGGUUAAAAUGCAGAUCCGGACGCAGCGGGUCUGGGCUGGGGCCUGGGACACGCAUUCCCAGCCAGCCGGGUGAUACCGAAGUUCAACCAGGUUUGGAGUCCAACACUGUGGACAAAGGGGUUGCAAACCCAGGAGGGGCUGUGCCCGGACUCGCAGGAGCGCGAGUGGCCGUCGCCCGGGCAGCCGUGGGCAGGGCCUGGGCGCCCCACCGAGCCCCCCGCCAGCCACAUGGGUCCCUUCCACCCACCCCACGGCUGACCUUCACCUUUCCGAAAUAUCUUAGGGAGUCGACCCACAGCGACGUUACGUCCCGGCCCCUGCGUGCCCACUGCACUGGCAGAAUGAUGAGUCCCAUCCGAGGGGGCUGAGGCUCAGGACGAGGAGAAGGCGCUAACUUGUUUUUACCCAGAUGAUCUUUCUGGGGAUGUUUGCCUAGCAGGCGACCUUGGAAGGAACUUCUAGGCGUGUCUCUGCUCGCAGGACAGAAAGGUACCUCCUUCCACAACAGACACUGGCGCUUUGCCAGUGGUCCCUUUAACAGACUGCGGUCUCCUAAGCGCGGGGUUCCUCAGCUGUGACUCGGAUCUGUGUACACACCUCCCACCUGCCGGUCGUAGGGAGGGGAACAGGGCCACCGCCUCCGUCCUGAAGCUCGCUCCCCUUCCGUGCUGUGAGGAUCCGUGCAAUGGUCGCAGCCCGGUUGGCUCACACUCGGAGUGGAACUUGGGACUCUUCAGUUCUUGCCAGCAGGGUUUCUGGGGCGGAAGGAGAGAACUGAGCCCAGGAUCCUGGGAGGCAUUGACCUUGGGCUAGGAAUGAACUACCAAGUCUACCAAGCGGUGUAAGCUUCAGGCUCCACAAAAUCUGCAUCUACCCCAGGCCCAAGCCACAUGGGGUCAUACGACUUGGGAUGAAAGUCUUGCCCAAGGAAAAGGGAGAGAUCCCAACUCUUAGGGCAGAGAAGGUGAGCUGGUCCCAGCACCCGGAAGGAAGCUCCCCCACCGCCAUACCAAGCUCCUAAGGCAGAGAAGCUGAGCCAGUCCCAGUACCUGGAAGGAAGCUCCCCCACCGCCAUCCCAAGGAAAAGGGAGAGUACGUUUGUUUCUCUCUGGCUUGGAUGGUCCCUGGUAUCUAUUUCAACUGAGGGUGGGUCUAUUUCCUCCGUGAUAAAGGCUCACUUACAUCAGGCAGGGGAGGGACCAUGAGCCAUCCCAGUACCUGAACUGUGACACAUUAGCAUUUGUGUGUACACAGGGUCUGCCACUGGUCUGGGGACAUCUUGCAGGAUAAGGGUCUCACAGGAAUCUGAGCCAUGGAAUGCCUGUCGCCAGAUAUCCAGCUCAGUGUCUGGUCCAUGCAGAUAGAAGUUGUCAAUCAGCAUUGCAAUGGGAAAAGGUCUUUUGCCACAAUACUUACCUCAGUCACCUAGAAAAAUACCCCACAUCUCAGAAUUACAAACUUACUCUUGGGGAUCUUGAAAAUUUCUAGGAGUUUGACACUACUUAUUAAAAUACAGAUUCCUUGGGAGAAAAGUUACAAUUGAUUGUAUAUUCACAAUUUUUACAAGAUGAAUAUGUAAGUGCUUCCCACUGUGUGAUAUUUACCAUACAAGUUCCCCCACCUCUCUCCAGCGAGAGAGCCAGGGCCAGGCUGCAGGUUGCAUGUGGUUGGGGAUUUGGGUGGGUGCUGGUUGUACAGGUUCGGUCUUAGGUUGAGAUCCCAAAGGCAGCUUUCCUCCUCUGCUGCUUACCUAGUUCCAAACACAGAAGAUACUGGGACAUAAGCGUUGGGUCACCGUUAGGACAUUUAGAGGAAGACCCAUAGAAGCAGCUUUGAAUCACUAAAAAUAUCAAUGUGGACAAGAUGGAGCUACAGUUAGGAAUGGCUGGGUUUCUUCCUCAGCCUUUCAGGCAGCUGUUUGGUUUCUGCUGCAUGACUGAUGAGUGCUCAUAACAUCUGAGUUGCCACAGUGAGUGUUUUCUGUGGCAGUAGGGGAAGGGACCACCAGAAUUAUUCUGCUGUACGUUAGGCCACAGUCUCUGGGUUUACUGAGGCAGUAUUUCCUACACAUGUUCCCGUGCUUUUAAAUUAUUUAUUUUUUAUUAUUCAGGUAGAUAUUUUUGUACCCCCAGAAGUUCCAUCAGAAGCUGUUUUCCUGGCUUUUCUUCUUUUCCUCCACUGUCCUGGCAUGGAUCCGGGGCAGCAGGGCCAGGCAGUGGCAUAGGUAAUAAGGGGUCCAGAGAGAGGGAAGCUCCCCUUUGUCAUUGUGUGGUCUCCCAUGUCUGUAAAGACAGUGCUAAUUUCCAUCCGUGUUGGGUUAGGAAGCAACAACUGUAAAAAUUCACUUAUAAUAAGCACCCCAAGGAUUAAAUGAAAGAUGUAGUAGUAGUAAUAAGACCCUCUCAAGUUGGAAUUUUCUCAGUAGCCACUAUUUUUUCCUUCUGAACAAUACACAAAUGUAUACUUUAAAAAAAUCUUUACUAAUAUAUUUUAUAUGUGAGUUGUUUGCAGUUACUGUGGAGAAGUAGAGGCUCUUAGUACAAUUCUUGUCACUCAGACAAUUUCAAAUGAUUCCUCAGCUGUUGUCCCUGGGCUACCUAUUAAUUCUAAGUCUCCCAGCUUCUUUUCUGGGUGUACCCAGCCAUCCCCUACACCUCAUCCGAAGUAGAAUAAUGGGAAGCUCUCUGCUUAAAACCCUCAGAGAGCUUCCUAAUGGAUACCUCUGGGUGAGAGCCUAGUCUAGUAACAGGAGAAAGGACCCCGUCUGUUGCUCCUCUGGGUCCUGCUCAUGCUUCAGGCUGGCUCAGUAAGCCCCUCUGAUCCACACCUUCUACAGACCUGUAGCUCCCACGCAGCCAAGCUACUGCCUGAUUCAUGUUUCUGUACAUAUUGCUCUAUUCCUGGAAUAUAUAUCUCUUCUGGGAUCUGCCUGACACACUCUACUUUUUUGGCUCUAAUAUUUAGAUGUUCACUUGAGAAUAAAGAACAAUAUUGUACAGUACUUCGUAUGCUCAGAAUUCAUUUAAACAGUAGCACAUUUUAUUUUAAUCCUUUGUAAAAAGAAAGAAAACAUUUCAAAUAGAGCUGGUAUCACCCAUAUACUCCUUUCCGAUCUUAUCCCCCUGCCUGAGAGAACCACUGCCAUGAGUUUAUAUUUAUUUUAUACUUUUAAUGUUUUAAAUAUUUUUAUUAUGCAUAUAUUCAUAGCAUUGUAUAACAUUUAUUUGCAAGUUUAAAAAUCUGAUGAGCAUGCACCAUGUAUUUGUAACUUUGCAGCUUGUUUCUUUGUUGUAGGCAUACUCUUGGUAUAAUAUAGUACUUUAUUAUACAAAUAAAUAACUCAUC
rnacentral:lncRNA from 1 species